rnacentral:rRNA from 1 species
UUAACGCGAAGAACCUUACCAAGGCUUGACAUGGACCGGACCGCCGCAGAGAUGUGGUUUCUCCUUUUGGGGCCGGUUCACAGGUGGUGCAUGGUUGUCGUCAGCUCGUGUCGUGAGAUGUUGGGUUAAGUCCCGCAACGAGCGCAACCCUCGUUCCAUGUUGCCAGCGCGUAAUGGCGGGGACUCAUGGGAGACUGCCGGGGUCAACUCGGAGGAAGGUGGGGACGACGUCAAAUCAUCAUGCCCCUUAUGUCUUGGGCUUCACGCAUGCUACAAUGGCCGGUACAAAGGGUUGCGAUACUGUGAGGUGGAGCUAAUCCCAAAAAGCCGGUCUCAGUUCGGAUUGGGGUCUGCAACUCGACCCCAUGAAGUCGGAGUCGCUAGUAAUCGCAGAUCAGCAACGCUGCGGA